GAUGAACGCUGGCGGCGUGCCUAAUACAUGCAAGUCGAGCGAACGGACGAGAAGCUUGCUUCUCUAAUGUUAGCGGCGGACGGGUGAGUAACACGUGGAUAACCUACCUAUAAGACUGGGAUAACUUCGGGAAACCGUAGCUAAUACCGGAUAAUAUUUUGAACCGCAUGGUUCAAAAGUGAAAGACGGUCUUGCUGUCACUUAUAGAUGGAUCCGCGCUGCAUUAGCUAGUUGGUAAGGUAACGGCUUACCAAGGCAACGAUGCAUAGCCGACCUGAGAGGGUGAUCGGCGACACUGGAACUGAGACACGGUCCAGACACCUACGGGAGGCAGCAGGAGGGAAGCUUCCGCAAUGGGCGAAGGCCUGACGGAGCAACGCCGAGUGAGUGAUGAAGGUCUUCGGAUCGUAAAACUCUGUUAUUAGGGAAGAACAUAUGUGUAAGUAACUGUGCACAUCUUGACGGUACCUAAUCAGAAAGCCACGGCUAACUACGUG
rnacentral:rRNA from 1 species